rnacentral:rRNA from 1 species
CUACGGGCGGCAGCAGCUAAGAAUCUUCCGCAAUGGACGAAAGUCUGACGGAGCGACGCCGCGUGAACGAUGAAGGCCGUGAGGUUGUAAAGUUCUUUUCCGAGGGGAGAAUAAGGAUGGCAGGGAAUGGCCGUCUGAUGACGUGAACUCGGGAAUAAGCCCCGGCUAACUACGUGCCAGCAGCCGCGGUAACACGUAGGGGGCGAGCGUUGUUCGGAAUCAUUGGGCGUAAAGGGUGCGCAGGCGGUGACGCAAGUCUGGUGUGAAAGAUCUCGGCUCAACCGAGGGAACGCGCUGGAAACUGUGUCACUAGAGUACAGGAGGGGGAGUUGGAAUUCCAGGUGUAGGGGUGAAAUCUGUAGAUAUCUGGAAGAACACCGGUGGCGAAGGCGAACUUCUGGCCAUGUACUGACGCUGAGGCACGAAGGCGUGGGGAGCAAACAGGAUUAGAUACCCUUGUAGUC